AACGAACGCUGGCGGCAUGCCUAACACAUGCAAGUCGAACGAGACCUUCGGGUCUAGUGGCGCCCGGGUGCGUAACGCGUGGGAACCUGCCCUUAGGUUCGGAAUAACUCCCCGAAAGGGAUGCUAAUACCGGAUAAUGUCUUCGGACCAAAGAUUUAUCGCCUUUGGAUGGGCCCGCGUUGGAUUAGCUAGUUGGUAGGGUAAAAGCCUACCAAGGCGACGAUCCAUAGCUGGUCUGAGAGGAUGAUCAGCCACACUGGGACUGAGACACGGCCCAGACUCCUACGGGAGGCAGCAGUGGGGAAUAUUGGACAAUGGGCGAAAGCCUGAUCCAGCAAUGCCGCGUGAAUGAUGAAGGCCUUAGGGUUGUAAAGCUCUUUUACCCGGGAUGAUAAUGACAGUACCGGGAGAAUAAGCGACGGCUAACUCCGUG
rnacentral:rRNA from 1 species